UACGUAGGGGCCUAGCGUUGUCCGGAUUUAUUGGGCGUAAAGAGCUCGUAGGCGGUUUGGUGAGUCGGGUGUGAAAUCUCCACGCUCAACGUGGAGGAGCCACCCGAUACUGCCAUGACUAGAGUCCGGUAGGGGAGUGUGGAAUUCCCGGUGUAGCGGUGAAAUGCGCAGAUAUCGGGAGGAACACCAGUGGCGAAGGCGGCUUUCUGGGCCUUACCUGACGCUGAGACGCGAAAGCGUGGGGAGCGAACCGG
rnacentral:rRNA from 1 species